rnacentral:rRNA from 1 species
UACAUGUGGGGCAAGCGUUGUUCGGAAUUACUGGGCCUAAAGGGUGCGUAGGCGGGUCUUUAAGUCAGGGGUGAAAUCCUGGAGCUCAACUCCAGAACUGCCUUUGAUACUGAGGAUCUUGAGUACGGGAGAGGUGAGUGGAACUGCGAGUGUAGAGGUGAAAUUCGUAGAUAUUCGCAAGAACACCAGUGGCGAAGGCGGCUCACUGGCCCGUUACUGACGCUGAGGCACGAAAGCGUGGGGAGCAAACAGG